rnacentral:piRNA from 1 species
UGAGAAACCAGCGCGUCCGCAACGAUCAC